CUUGGAGAAGUGUAUUGUAAUUUAAUGUAAAUAAUGUAAUAUCCAAUAAUUGUAAUUUAAUAUAAGAUGUAAUAUAAGUUCCUUAAAAAAUAUAUUUUUUAUUUCCCACGACAUUAGAUGGAUGUUCGGCAGCAAGACAUUGGACCAAACUGGGACGUCCUAUGAAGGCCCAAUUGACGUCCACCGAACGUCCCUUCGGAUGUUAAGUGGACCUCCAUUGGACGUUUGGCAACGUGGCAUUUGGACCAAAAUUGGACGUCCUGUUAAUGUCCAAUUCACGUCCCCUAGGACGUCCGGUUAAGGUCCAAUUUACUUCCGAUUAAGGUCCAAUUUACGUCCGAUUAAGGUCCCAUUUACGUCCGAUUAAGGUCCAAUUUACGUCCUAUUAAGGUCCAAUUUACGUCCGGUUAAGGUCCAAUUUACGUCCGAUUAAGGUCCCAUUUACGUCCCAUUAAGGUCCAAUUUACGUCCUAUUAAGGUCCAAUUUACGUCCGAUUAAGGUCCAAUUUAUGUCCUAUUAAGGUCCAAUUUACGUCUGAUUAAGGUCCAAUUUACGUCCGAUUAAGGUCCAAUUUACGUCCCCUAGGACGUCCGAUCAAGGUCCAAAUUACGUCCGAUUAAGGUCCAAUAUACGUCCCCUCGGACCUUAGAUGGACGUCCAAUGGACGUUCGGUAGCGCGACAUUUGGACCAAAAUAGGACGUAUAAAGGACGUUCCUCGGACGAAAACGGACGUCCAAUGGACGUCCCUAAAGUCCGUGAAGGACGUCCAAUGGACGUCCAUUGGACGUCCUUGUGCUAUUAGGGCAAGGUUAAGCUAUGGCCCA